AGCCUGCAGUCGCCCUGCGCGCCUCCCCGCGAGGAGUGUUUUCUAGCGCCUCUGAUGGGCGGACUCCUGCAGGCCUGUUGUGAGCCUGAGGUUCCUUCUCACAGCUGGGUCUAAGGUCUGAAUGCCGCGCCCUCAGGAGAGCCACAGAUGGGUCUCCGCUGAUGCUUGUCUCAAUUUCCUCUGAGCGGGAGAGCUCCGGGAAAGGAGCCGAUCCUGGUGGUAGACUACAGAUCUGAGUCCACGGGACGAAAAACGAGGCUCCUUGGAUUAGAGACCAUCCUGAGGACAUCUUUGGGAGUCAUGUGCUGAAGUUGGCCAAGCCACAGGAUGAAAGGAGCUGUAUCUUUGAGUCAGCACUGGAGAAAGGUCUCUCUAAAUGGAUUUGCAGAGAAGUCUUCUCAAAUAUUCCCCCUCUAAGUUCCA